AUGAGUUUUCACCCAAAAAGUUUGAGGUUAUGCUCUUCAAACCGCCCAAGGAUGGGGCCGCGACCGAUCAGGUUGUUGGUGAGGUAAUGGCUCACCAAGCCUUUUACCGGUGCGGGCCGUGGGAGCGGGAGCCCGGAGAUGGGCACUGAGACAAGGGCCCAGGCCCUACGGGGCGCAGCAGUCGCGAAAACUUUGCAAUAAGCGAAAGCUUGACAGGGCUAUCCCGAGUGCCAUCCGCUGAGGAAGGCUUUUACCCAGUCUAGAACGCUGGGGGAAUAAGGAGAGGGCAAGUCUGGUGUCAGCCGCCGCGGUAAUACCAGCUCUCCGAGUGGUGUGGAUGUUUAUUGGGCCUAAAGCAUCCGUAGCUGGCUAGGUUAGUCCCCUGUUAAAUCCACCGAAUUAAUCGUUGGAUUGCGGGGGAUACUGCUUGGCUAGGGGACGAGAGAGGCAGACGGUAUUUCCGGGGUAGGGGUGAAAUCCUAUAAUCCCGGGAAGACCACCAGUGGCGAAGGCUGUCUGCUAGAACGCGCCCGACGGUGAGGGAUGAAAGCUGGGGGAGCGAACCGGAUUAGAUACCCGGGUAGCCCCAGCUGUAAACGAUGCAGACUAGGUGUUUGGACGGCCACGUGCCGUUCUAGUGCCGCAGGGAAGCUGUUAAGUCUGCCGCCUGGGGAGUACGAUCGCAAGAUUGAAACUUAAAGGAAUUGGCGGGGGAGCACCACAAGGGGUGAAGCUUGCGGUUUAAUUGGAGUCAACGCCGGA
rnacentral:rRNA from 1 species